UUGGGGUUGAGUCUCUCUCCUAGUGUUAGUGCUGGUAUCUCACUCAUUGUUCCUGCACCAAGGAGUGGUGCUUAGCCUGUUUCCUUUUGUCACAACAAUGUAUCCCAGCCUAGUAAUAUAUGAGGAGACAUUUUUUUUUUUUUACCACUCUGGAGGCUGGUGAGGGUCAUUCGGCUGCCUUAAACUCUAGCAAAAGGUAUUGCUAUUGCAUUGCAAGAGCGGAGGAACACACAAACUCAGGUCUCUUUUCUUUAUGCCACCAUUCCCACCACAGGGUCCCAACCCCACAGCCUCCUCUAACCCUAAUUUCCCAAGUCCCACCUGCAUCUUCUGGUGGAACUAACGUGGGUGCUGAGCUUGCAAAGCACAAACUUCUGGGAGACACAGCCAAACGUACAUGGAGUUGACUGAAGCGUCUCUUUGUGUUCCGAGUCCCUAGGGCUGCUAAUGCACUUGGUUUCCUGUGAGCAUUUGUUUUUUCCAGAGUUGCUGAGAUUACAGGCGUACAUAUACCGGGAUCCAGCUCAUCAUCCCUAUGAAUCUGAAGAAGUUUUUGAAGGAGGGAUGGCUCCGUUCUCAAAGAAUUAUACAGCUCUUGUUGCCAGAAUAAAGCUUGGGAAUGAUCCCAGUAGCCCUUCCUGUCAACUAACUGAGCUCUAAGCUUGGGCAGGAAUCGGGUCCAGAGCUUCCAAGAGAAUCAAGUGCCCUCCUCUCCUUUUCAUAGAGUAUCACAAGCAACAAACAUCUUGUCUCAUAAAAGUUUCAGCCUUAAGAGAAAAUCAGACCUAAUAACGCCUCCCCCUAAUACUUAAGAAUCUGGUGUGGUUUGUAGUAAAUACAACUGGGCUUUCAUAGCCUGCUUCAUGUUCAUCUCUC